GGAGAGGUGGCAGAGUGGUCGAAUGCACUCGCUUGGAAAGCGAGCAGACCCCUAAAGGUCUCGGGAGUUCGAAUCUCCCCCUCUCCGCCA
rnacentral:tRNA from 1 species